GACGAACGCUGGCGGCGUGCUUAACACAUGCAAGUCGAACGGAAAGGCCCUGCUUUUGUGGGGUGCUCGAGUGGCGAACGGGUGAGUAACACGUGAGUAACCUGCCCUUGACUUUGGGAUAACUUCAGGAAACUGGGGCUAAUACCGGAUAGGAGCUCCUGCUGCAUGGUGGGGGUUGGAAAGUUUCGGCGGUUGGGGAUGGACUCGCGGCUCAUCAGCUUGUUGGUGGGGUAGUGGCUUACCAAGGCUUUGACGGGUAGCCGGCCUGAGAGGGUGACCGGCCACAUUGGGACUGAGAUACGGCCCAGACUCCUACGGGAGGCAGCAGUGGGGAAUAUUGCACAAUGGGCGGAAGCCUGAUGCAGCGACGCCGCGUGCGGGAUGACGGCCUUCGGGUUGUAAACCGCUGUCGCCUGUGACGAAGCGUGAGUGACGGUAAUGGGUAAAGAAGCACCGGCUAACUACGUG
rnacentral:rRNA from 1 species